GCUCCUAUGGUCUAAUGCAAGGACGCUGGAUGGAUAUAAGUGGCAAAUUACUAAAUAUCGAUCUCAUAAUCCAGAAAUGUGAGUUCAAAUCUUACUGGGAGCA